rnacentral:rRNA from 1 species
GAUAAACGCUGGCGGCGCACAUAAGACAUGCAAGUCGAACGGAAGUCGUUAUAAAAAGGAUUGAAGAUUUAUCUGAUUGAGAUUUUAUAACAAUGGCUUUAGUGGCGGACUGGUGAGUAACGCGUGAGCAACCUGCCUACUAGAGGGGAAUAACAGUGAGAAAUGACUGCUAAUACCGCAUAUGCCUAAGUACCACAUGGUACAAUAGGGAAAGAAGCAAUUCGCUGAUAGAUGGGCUUGCGUCUGAUUAGAUAGUUGGUGGGGUAACGGCCUACCAAGUCGACGAUCAGUAGCCGGACUGAGAGGUUGAACGGCCACAUUGGGACUGAGAUACGGCCCAG